GAUGAACGCUGGCGGCGUGCCUAAUACAUGCAAGUCGAGCGAACAGAUAAGGAGCUUGCUCCUUUGACGUUAGCGGCGGACGGGUGUGUAACACGUGGGUAACCUACCUAUCAGACUGGGAUCACUUCGGGAAACCGGCGCUAAUCCCGGAUAAUCUUUCGAACCGCAUGGUUCGUUAGUGAAAGAUGGUUUUGCUAUCACUUAUAGGUGGACCCGCGCGGUAUUAGCUAGUUGGUAGGGUAACGGCUUACCAAGGCGACGAUUCGUAGCCGACCUGAGAGGGUGAUCGGCCACACUGGAGCUGGGACACGGUCCAGAGUCCUACGGGAGGCAGCAGUAGGGAAUCGGACGCAGUGGGCGAGAGCAUGGCGGAGCAACGCCGCGUGAGUGAUGAAGGUCUUCGGAUCGUAAAACUGUGUUAUGAGGGAAGAACAGACGUGUAAGGAAAUGUGCACGUCUUGACGGUACCUGAUCAGAAAGCCACGGCUAACUACGUG
rnacentral:rRNA from 1 species